CAGUCGCCACGGUAAUACGUAGGGUGCAAGCGUUGUCCGGAAUUAUUGGGCGUAAAGAGCUCGUAGGCGGUUUGUUGCGUCUGCUGUGAAAUCUGGGGGCUGAGCCCCCAGCCUGCAGUGGGUACGGGCAGACUAGGGUGCGGUAGGGGAGAUUGGAAUUCCUGGUGUAGCGGUGGAAUGCGCAGAUAUCAGGAGGAACACCGAUGGCGAAGGCAGAUCUCUGGGCCGUAACUGACGCUGAGGAGCGAAAGCAUGGGGAGCGAACAGGAUUAGAUACCCCUGUAGUCCCUGUCUCUUAUAC
rnacentral:rRNA from 1 species